UACGUAGGGUGCAAGCGUUGUCCGGAAUUAUUGGGCGUAAAGAGCUCGUAGGCGGUCUGUCGCGUCUGGCGUGAAAAUCCAGGGCUUAACCCUGGACCUGCGUCGGGUACGGGCAGACUAGAGUGCGGUAGGGGGAGGAUCGAAUUCCUGGUGUAGCGGUGAAAUGCGCAGAUAUCAGGAGGAACACCGGUGGCGAAGGCGGAUCUCUGGGCCGUAACUGACGCUGAGGAGCGAAAGCAUGGGGAGCGAACAGG
rnacentral:rRNA from 1 species